CUCCUUAGAGAAAUCUUAAUCUUAUCUCUUACUUGCAACAGCAACAAGGAAUAAAAACACAAUGAUUCUCCAAUACAAACAAUUUUAGGUUUCUGUCGACCAUAAAUUCAUUAAAGUAAUUUCACAAAUGUAAUUAUCACUAUAUAAGCGUUAAAGCUUUACCUAUAUAAGUUCCAAAUUUACUCCAAGUAAACAUAAAAGUUUACAUAUGUUUGCAACAUACUGGAAG